CGGGGGGGGCAAGCGUUGUUCGGAAUUACUGGGCGUAAAGGGCUCGUAGGUGGCCAACUAAGUCAGACGUGAAAUCCCUCGGCUUAACCGGGGAACUGCGUCUGAUACUGGUUGGCUUGAGUUUGGGAGAGGGACGCGGAAUUCCAGGUGUAGCGGUGAAAUGCGUAGAUAUCUGGAGGAACACCGGUGGCGAAGGCGGCGUCCUGGACCAACACUGACACUGAUGAGCGAAAGCCAGGGGAGCAAACGGGAUUAGAUACCCCGGUAGUCCUGGCCCUAAACGAUGAAUGCUUGGUGUGGCGGGUAUCGAUCCCUGCCGUGCCGAAGCUAACGCAUUAAGCAUUCCGCCUGGGGAGUACGGUCGCAAGGCUG
rnacentral:rRNA from 1 species